CAUGUCACUGUUCUACGUCCGAUCAUCGCCUAUUUUGCUGCCAUUCUUCACUAAACUUCAAGCAUCGCUGCUGCUUGAGAUAGGUAAAGAUCAAUUCCUUGCGCUUUAAAACCCCGGUCUGGAAAGUUGCAGCCCUAUCAUUGAUGAGAAUAUAGUGGAUUGAAUCUUUCUGACUAUGAUUCAGACGAUAAUAGUGUAGAGUUAAGCGAUGGGAAUUGUACGAUUAGAUUCCUUUUGAAAUGAACUAGUGGCUUAUGUUUGCA